UAAAGACAUCCAUUACGUGUUUGAUAUUGUGACAGAUGGCCGAAUUCACAGAUAAAUUAUCAUUAUGUCAAAAAGACCGAAGCCCUCUGGUGCCCAGGGAAGAAAAAAAAGAAGAGAAGAGGAAGAAAAACGGGAUAAAGAUAGAGUAAACAAGUGGACUGAUGUCACCACUGUACCCGAAGAAAGCUUUGCAUGUCAAGUUCAGCAUGCUUCCUGCAGAGGGCAGAGAGUUCCUGUGUCCUUGUUCCUUGUGGGCGCCACCCGUUUUGCUCCUCACCUCCAGUCUUCUGUGGAUCGUCUGGGAGAUUGGAUCCUGACGUUGACUUGUGUUCGCGCCAUAUGCCAGUUCUGUUUACC